rnacentral:rRNA from 1 species
UACGGAAGGCAGCAGUGGGGAAUAUUGCACAAUGGGCGAAAGCCUGAUGCAGCUAUGCCGCGUGUAUGAAGAAGGCCUUAGGGUUGUAAAGUACUUUCAUCGGGGAGGAAAAAACAAAACUAAUAAUUUUAUUUCUUGACGUUACCCGAAAAAGAAGCACCGGCUAACUCCGUGCCAGCAGCCGCGGUAAUACGGAGGGUGCUAGCGUUAAUCAGAAUUACUGGGCGUAAAGAGCACGUAGGUGGUUUUUUUAAGUCAGAUGUGAAAUCCCUGGGCUUAACCUGGAACUGCAUUUUGAAACUGAAAUACUAGAGUAUCGUAGAGGGAGGUAGAAUUCUAGGUGUAGCGGUGAAAUGCGUAGAUAUCUGGAGGAAUACCUGUGGCGAAAGCGGCCUCCUAAACGAAUACUGACACUGAGGUGCGAAAGCGUGGGGAGCAAACAGGGAUUAGAUU